rnacentral:rRNA from 1 species
CCUACGGGCGGCAGCAGUAGGGAAUCUUCCACAAUGGGCGAAAGCCUGAUGGAGCAAAGCCGCGUGGGUGAAGAAGGCCUUCGGAUCGUAAAACCCUGUUGUUAGAGAAGCAAGUGCGUGAGCGUAACUGUUCACGUUUCGACGGUAUCUAACCAGAAAGCCACGGCUAACUACGUGCCAGCAGCCGCGGUAAUACGUAGGUGGCAAGCGUUAACCGGAUUUAUUGGGCGUAAAGGGAACGCAGGCGGUCUGUUAAGUCUGAUGUGAAAGCCGUCGGCUUAACCGGAGUAGUGCAUUGGAAACUGGGAGACUUGAGUGCAGGAGAGGAGAGUGGAACUCGAGGUGUAGCGGUGAAAUGCGUAGAUAUAUGGAAGAACACCAGUGGCGAAGGCGGCUCUCUGGUCUGUAACUGACGCUGAGGUUCGAAAGCGUGGGUAGCAAACAGGAUUAGAUACCCUUGUAGUC